AAAUUCAUAGGCGGCUGGUUUAAAACCAAAAAAAGGAACUACUUCUUCACACAAAUACACAGUCAAUCUGUAGAAUUUGUUGCCAGGGGAUGUUGUGAAGGCUAAAAGUAUAUAUGGGUUAAAAAAAGAAUUAGAUAUGUUCAUGGAGGAUAGGUCCAUCAAUAGCCAUUAGCCAAGAUGGUCUGGGAUGCAAC